GGAGUGGAGGAGUUCAAGGAAACCUCCUCUUGUUGCGAUAAAAGAUUCCGCGCUGUGUUUGUGUGCGCACUUUCAGAUAAUUACAGGAAGGACAUGCUUUGACAAACAGAAGACUCAAGAUUUAAUCCUCCCCCAGUCCGUAUGAGGUAUCUUUAAGGAUGAUGCCAGGUUGCUGUCCAGCAGCUGAAGCUCUGUGCCAGGCCAGCUGACUCAGCAGGACUAUGACCCCAAACGUUGCUGUAAAUCUUCUACAAAACGACUUCAGGGACCUGGAGAGAGUCGUUCACACCAGACAGAAGCAGUUCUACAGGAACAAUGGUCCAAACUUCCUCCGGAUCAUUGUGCAGGUCAGAGCCAAAGCUACCACGACUGUUCGUGUAAGGGCGGCUGCUGCCAGAGGAAGUUCGGCCACUUUAAUCAACUUGGGUUUUGAAAACAUUUUUCCACUGAGACUGUAAAUGUUUGAUGAAUGAGUUCAAUAAAGUCAAAAAGGAUUAUAA